UAUCUUAUAUUAUUAUUAUUUCUUUCUACAAAUAAUAAUUAAUUACAUAUACACUAGUACAAUAUUGCCAUAUGUUGCAUUUACGUGUCUACUUUACUCGCCUUUAAAUAGUGGGCUUUGUGCAACCUAAAUAGUUCAUACAAACUUGGAAAAACAAAAACAAAAAAAAAGUCUUUACAAAGAUUAUUAGAAUGGCUUUUGCUCAAUCUUUCUACAACCAAAGCUCUGUCUUCAGAAUCAAUGUCAUGGUUGUGGACGAUGAUCAUGUUUUCCUUCAAAUUUUGGCACGCAUGCUUGAAAAGAACAAAUACAUAGAUCCAUCGGUUAUGGAGAUCACAGUUAUAACUGUAGACGAUCCAAAGAAAGCAUUAUCUACUCUAGAAAUUCAACGAGACAAUAUAGAUCUCAUAAUCACAGAUUAUUACAUGCCUGGCAUGAACGGUGUACAACUCAAAAAAAAAAUCACUGAAAAAUUUGGAAAUUUACCGGUCUUAGUUAUGUCAUCAGACACAAACAAAGAAGAGGAGAGUUUAAGUGGUGGAGCGAUGGGUUUCAUUACAAAACCCAUUAAACCAUCUGACUUAACAAAGAUUUACCAGUUUGCUUUAACCAGCAAGAGGAACAGUAAGUCAACAUUAUCAACCGAGCACAACCACAAGGACACAGAUGUUAUUGUCCCUCAGCAAAUCAUGUUGCUACCUGAACAAGCUGAUGUCUCAUCUAAAUCGGAUUCAAGAUCCGUGACCGUGAACAGUACAAAUGGAAGUUGAGUUAGUACGGAUGGUUCGAGAAAAAAUCGAAAAAAGAAAACCUACCGGUGGUCCUAGUGAUGAUGGAGAACAUGUAUUCAUUUUAAGAGGGGAUUAUUGAGUAAUUGAUAAAAAAAAAAAAAAUAAUAAAUGAAUUUUGUCCAAA